rnacentral:rRNA from 1 species
AUACGUAGGGAGCGAGCGUUGUCCGGAAUUACUGGGCGUAAAGGGCGCGUAGGCGGCGCUUCAAGUCGUCUGUCAAAUGGAAGGGCUUAACCCUUUUUCGCAGACGAAACUGGAGAGCUUGAGAAGCAGAGAGGCAAACAGAAUUCCUGGUGUAGCGGUGAAAUGCGUAGAUAUCAGGAAGAAUACCAGUGGCGAAGGCGGUUUGCUGGCUGCAUACUGACGCUGAAGCGCGAAAGCCAGGGGAGCGAACGGGAUUAGAUACCCCGGUAGUCCUGGCAGUAAACGAUGUAUGCUGGGUGUGAGACUAGCGAUAGUUUCGUGCCGAAGUUAACGCGAUAAGCAUACCGCCUGGGGAGUACGGUCGCAAGAUUGAAACUCAAAUGAAGUGACGGG